CCUANGGGAGGCAGCAGUCGAGAAUCUUCCGCAAUAGACGAAAGUCUGACGGAGCGACGCCGCGUGGAGGAUGAAGGCCUUCGGGUUGUAAACUCCUGUCACCCGUUAUGAAUUGCAACGUGCUAAUAGUACGUUGAGUGACAAAGGCGGGAGAGGAAGCACCGGCUAACCCUGUGCCAGUAGCCGCGGUAAGACAGGGGGUGCAAGCGUUGCUCGGAAUCAUUGGGCGUAAAGCGCACGUAGGCGGUCUUGUAAGUCGGGUGUGAAAGCCCUCAGCCUAACUGAGGAACUGCGCCCGAUACUGCAAGGCUAGAGGAUGGGAGGGGAGAGUGGAAUUCCUGGUGGAGCGGUGAAAUGCGUAGAUAUCAGGAGGAAUACCAGUGGCGAAGGCGACUCUCUGGCCCAUUCCUGACGCUGAGGUGCGAAAGCUAGGGGAGCAAACGGGAUUAGAUACCCUANUANUC
rnacentral:rRNA from 1 species